GUGCCAGCAGCCGCGGUAAUACGUAGGAUGCAAGCGUUGUCCGGAAUUACUGGGCGUAAAGGGCGAGUAGGCGGCCCCGCAAGUCAGAUGUGAAAUAGCCCGGCUUAACCGGGAGGGGUCAUUUGAAACUGCGGAGCUAGAGUGCAGGAGAGGCUAGCGGAAUUCCCGGUGUAGUGGUGAAAUGCGUAGAUAUCGGGAGGAACACCAGUGGCGAAGGCGGCUAGCUGGCCUGUAACUGACGCUGAGGCGCGAAGGCUAGGGGAGCGAACAGGAUUAGAUACCCUGGUAGUCC
rnacentral:rRNA from 1 species